rnacentral:rRNA from 1 species
CAGCAGCCGCGGUAAUACGUAGGUGGCAAGCGUUGUCCGGAAUUGUUGGGCGUAAAGGGCUCGCAGGCGGUUUCUUAAGUCUGAUGUGAAAGCCCCCGGCUCAACCGGGGAGGGUCAUUGGAAACUGGGAAACUUGAGUGCAGAAGAGGAGAGUGGAAUUCCACGUGUAGCGGUGAAAUGCGUAGAGAUGUGGAGGAACACAGUGGCGAAGGCGACUCUCUGGUCUGUAACUGACGCUGAGGAGCGAAAGCGUGGGGAGCGAACAGGAUUAGAUACCCGCGUAUCCAUGUCUCUUAUACAC